CAUUCGGUAAAGAAAAAGACAAAGAGAAGAAGUUAGACGAUGACAGCAGCAGUACCACAGUUCCUCAGUCAGCUUUCUUGGGCCCAACAUUAUGGGACAAGACACUGCCAUACGACGGAGACACUUUCCAGUUGGAAUACAUGGACCUGGAAGAAUUCCUCUCAGAAAAUGGCAUUCCACCCAGCCCAAACCAGCACGAGCAUAGCCCACACCAGUCAGGUCUCCAGCAAGCUACCUCAGCAUCACCUUCUGUCAUGGACCUCAGCAGCAGGGCUUCUACUUCAGUCCAUCCAGGCAUGGUGUCGCAGAACUGCAUGCAGAGCCCGGUCAGACCAGGUAAAUAA